UUUCCGUAGGUGAACCUGCGGAAGGAUCAUUAACGAGUUAGGGUCUUCUAGGCCCGACCUCCCAACCCUUUGUUUACUGAACCAUUGUUGCCUCGGUGGGUCCGUCUUACGACCGCCGGGGGAUCGCCGCGAGGCGCCCCCUGGCCAGCGCCCACCGAUAGCCCAACCCUUAAAACCCUUUGUGAAUCGUGUCUUAUGUCUAAAUUUAUGAUUAAACAAUCAAAACAAAACUUUCAACAACGGAUCUCUUGGUUCUG
rnacentral:misc_RNA from 1 species